AGUGAACGCUGGCGGUAGGCCUAACACAUGCAAGUCGAACGGCAGCACAGUAAGAGCUUGCUCUUACGGGUGGCGAGUGGCGGACGGGUGAGGAAUACAUCGUAAUCUACUUUUUCGUGGGGGAUAACGUAGGGAAACUUACGCUAAUACCGCAUACUCCCUACGGGUGAAAGCAGGGGAUCUUCGGACCUUGCGCGUUUGAAUGAGCCGAUGUCGGAUUAUCUCGUUGGGGGGGUAAGGGCCCACCAAGGCGAUGAUGCGUAGCGGGUCUGAGAGGAUGGGCGGGCAGAAGGGGAAUGCGAGACGGCGAAGACUACGAAGGGAGGCAGCAGGGGGGAGUAUGGGACAAUGGGAGGAAGCCUGAUGAAGCGAAGCGGCGGGAGGGAUGGAGGCCUUCGGGUUGUGAACCUCUUUCGCCAGUGAAGCAGGCCUGCCUCGUUUGUGGGUGGGUUGACGGUAGCUGGAGAAGAAGCGCCGGCUAACUACGUG
rnacentral:rRNA from 1 species